GACAAGUAGAUUCCUACUUUAAAAAGAUCUUAGAAACGGUUGCGGGUCCUUUAGGCUUUUGUUAUAAUGAAGUUACUUAUUUUUGUUCGUAAUAUGAUUAAAAAGGCACUCGUCUUGAAGAAUAUUAUUUAGAGCAGGGAUAGUAAUACAAUUGUGCGCUUGGCGCACGAGGAGGAUACACACAUGUUACAAGGUAAAGUUAAAUGGUUUAACGCAGAAAAAGGUUUCGGUUUCAUCGAAGCAGAAGGUCAAGAAGACGUAUUCGUACAUUUCUCUGCUAUUCAAGGCGAAGGCUUCAAAUCUCUAGAAGAAGGCCAAGAAGUUACUUUCGAAAUCGUUGAAGGCGCUCGUGGACCACAAGCUGCUAACGUUCAAAAGUAAUGACUGAAAAAGACUCCUGUUAAGGAGUCUUUUUUUG
rnacentral:sRNA from 1 species